CGAACGUUAGCGGCGGGCCUAACACAUGCAAGUCGAACGAGAACGCUCCUUCGGGAGUUAUUAAAGUGGCGCACGGGUGAGGAACGCGUAGGUAAUCUACCCUCUGGCGGGGGACAACACUCCGAAAGGAAUGCUAAUACCGCGUAAGACCACACUCACUACGGUGAGAGCGGUUAAAGGUGCCUCAAAGCACCACCAGAGGAUGAGCCUGCGUCCCAUCAGCUUGUUGGUAAGGUAAUGGCUUACCAAGGCUAAGACGGGUAGCUGGUCUGAGAGGAUGAUCAGCCACACUGGCACUGGAACACGGGCCAGACUCCUACGGGAGGCAGCAGUGAGGAAUAUUGGGCAAUGGGCGAAAGCCUGACCCAGCCACGCCGCGUGUGUGAUGAAGGCCUUCGGGUCGUAAAGCACUGUGGGGAGAGACGAAAAAGCGCAUCAGGAAAUGGUUGCGCCUUGACGGUACCUCCUUAGCAAGCACCGGCUAACUCU
rnacentral:rRNA from 1 species